AUGAGCCUGGCCGCUUUGCUGCUGGUGCUGGCUCCAGGCGCGUUGGCCCAAUACACGGUGACCCAGGAGCCGUCCCAGGUCGCUGCCAAGGAAGGAGAAUCCAUCCAGCUCAACUGCUCCUACACGGGCACCGCGUACAGCGUGCAUUGGUACCGCCAGCCCCAGGGGGGCCAGCCGCGGUUCCUGGCGCUCCUGUCCUCUAGCCGCAGAGACACCCGAGAGAAUUUCACCAUGAGCCUGGACACCAAAACCAAAAGCAGCUUCUUGUACCUGAACAGCAGCCGCCUGGCAGACUCUGCUGUGUAUCUGUGCGCGCUGGAGCACAGUGCCAGGUGAGCACAGGCAGCCCGUCACAAAACCCUGGGUGGGGGCAGGGCACACGGACCCGAGAGAGGAGACAAGCAGAAGUUAGAAUAGAACAGCGGAUAUGAGCACAGAGAGAAGAAAGGAAAGUAGACCAGAGUCGGCGAGAGGCAAUAAGAAUAGAAUGGAACAGAAGAGAACACACGGGAAUGGACCGGAACAGGAGCGAUGUGAACAGAAUAAAGGGGAGAGAAGAGAAGAGGGGUCAGUAAUUUAAGGAAGAAACUUGAAGAAUCAGCUGGAAAAUUAUAGACAUUUUCACCUCUUUUGUCUUCCCCAAUUGCCUGGAUCUGUGGUUUUAUAUGAAAAAUGGCUUCCUUGUCCCACAACACUAGCAGAUAGGGAAGCAUUCCCUGGGGAGACAACACAGGAACUCAGUCAUUCCAAUGCGAUUUUCUCUGUUGUUCGGGUCAGACACUGUCAGACUGGUAACAUGCACUCAGACAUUCUCACAUACAGCCACUCACAGGACACACUCGCACAUGUUCUCUCUCUCUCUCUCUCUCUCACACACACACACACACACACACACACACGUAUACACACUUGCACAGACAAACACACUCUCUCUCACCUAGACUCACACGCACAAAUAGAUUCUAGCACACAGUCAGAAACCUAUACACUGAAAUCACACACGCACACUCUCUGAUAUAUAUCCCCCAUCAUACACACUCAGAAAUAUAGAUAUCUAUGCAUCCACACCAUCAGUCACACACACACACACACACACACACACACACACACACUUCAUCUCAGAGUCAAAGAGAUCCAUACACCCUCUUAGAUGAUAAUAUCUUUGAUUGGAUCAGCUUCUGUUGGGGAGACAAGUUUUCCAGUUACACGGAGCUCUUCCUCCGCUGGGAAGCGUGUCUCUCACCAGCAGAAGUUGCUCCACUGAAAGAUAUGACCUGACCCACCUUGUCCCUACAAUAGUGUGGGACCACCACAGCUACAAGAACACGGCACACUCCUAGAUAAACAGCCUGUCCCCCCGAAUGCAUCCCACACCCAGAGAAUUUCCUGUGUCAGACGUAGAUCUCUCGGCAAAGGGACCCAGUCCUGCCAGGGUCUGACAGACCCCACAGCACCCAUGAACUUCCUUCUCCUGCCAGGUAUUACUCCCUUUUGUACCCAGUCUUUGUUAUUCUCUCUCUCACACACACAGACACUUCCCCCCUCACCCUCAGGCAGGAUUUAAGAGCUUGGCGUCCCUUGGUAUUUUACAAGCAAAGAGCUGAGUUUACGCCAGUCCCAUCUCUUCCUGUCAGCUCUACUGAGCACAACAGACACGUGCAGUUUGUAAAACUCCAUCUGUUUCCUGCUGGCUCAUCUCUAUCCCUCCACUGUAAGGGGACUUCCAGCCAAACGCCCGCCCCUCCCUGGGCGUGACCUCCGCUGGCCUCCCUCGCCCUGUUUUCCCCACAGGGGCCCGCGGCCCAUACGCCGUCACUCAGGACAAACCUGCUGUCUCCAGCGAGGGACAGUUACCGUGGGGAGCGCGGAGCAUCCCUUGCUACCAGCAGGUCCCAGGCGCUUCCCCGCAGCUCAUGAU